UGCCCGGUCUUGCCUGCUGGGGAAUAUCCCUCAUUGCAUGAAAAGUAGAAUGAAAUCUCUGUUGCUUUUCCUUUCCCUGCUCUCUGCCCUCCCCGGCGUCCUCUCCCAGGUGCAGCUGGUCCAGUCCGGCCCGGGGGCGGUGAAGCCCGGAGAGACCCUCACCCUGACCUGUGCUGUCUCCGGGGUCUCCAUCUCUGCUCAGAAUUCCGUUUGGCACUGGAACCGGCAGCCCCCCAGAAAGGGGAUGGAGUGGAUGGGGUAUGUGUACCCAUAUAACGGGGUUACAGGUUACGCCUCGUCUCUCCAAGGCCGAGCCACCAUCUCUGGAGAUACCUCCAAGAACCAGGUCUCCCUGCAGCUCCGCUCCCUGACAGCUGCAGACACCGCCACGUAUUACUGCGCCAGAGAGCCCCACAGUGACACAGAGCAAAGCAGGGACUGGUACAAAAAGGGGAAGCGGUUUCUAAGCAGCCGAGUGAGGCCAGAGUUACAGGGACCAUUGAGCCCUCAGAGAGAGAGAGAGGUAGAGAGACAUGAGGUAGAGAGACUGUGA